rnacentral:rRNA from 1 species
AGUGAACGCUGGCGGCAGGCCUAACACAUGCAAGUCGAACGGCAGCACAGUAAGAGCUUGCUCUUACGGGUGGCGAGUGGCGGACGGGUGAGGAAUACAUCGGAAUCUACUUUUUCGUGGGGGAUAACGUAGGGAAACUUACGCUAAUACCGCAUACGACCUACGGGUGAAAGCAGGGGAUCUUCGGACCUUGCGCGAUUGAAUGAGCCGCUGUCGGAUUAGCUAGUUGGCGGGGUAAAGGCCCACCAAGGCGACGAUCCGUAGCUGGUAUGAGAGGAUGAUCAGCCACACUGGAACUGAGACACGGUCCAGAGUCCUACGGGAGGCAGCAGUGGGGAAUAUUGGAGAAUGGGCGAAAGCCUGAUCCAGCCAUACCGCGUGGGUGAAGAAGGACUUCGGGUUGUAAAGGCCUUUUGUUGGGAAAGAAAAGCAGCAGGUUAAUACCCCGAUGUUCUGACGGUAACCAAAGAAUAAGCACCGGCUAACUUCGUG